rnacentral:rRNA from 1 species
CCUACGGGAGGCAGCAGUGAGGAAUAUUGGUCAAUGGACGAGAGUCUGAACCAGCCAAGUAGCGUGAAGGAUGACUGCCCUAUGGGUUGUAAACUUCUUUUAUAUGGGAAUAAAAUGUUCCACGUGUGGGUUUUUGUAUGUACCAUAUGAAUAAGGAUCGGCUAACUCCGUGCCAGCAGCCGCGGUAAUAGGGAGGAUCCGAGCGUUAUCCGGAUUUAUUGGGUUUAAAGGGAGCGUAGGUGGAUUGUUAAGUCAGUUGUGAAAGUUUGCGGCUCAACCGUAAAAUUGCAGUUGAAACUGGCAGUCUUGAGUACAGUAGAGGUGGGCGGAAUUCGUGGUGUAGCGGUGAAAUGCUUAGAUAUCACGAAGAACUCCGAUUGCGAAGGCAGCUCACUGGACUGCAACUGACACUGAGGCUCGAAAGUGUGGGUAUCAAACAGGAUUAGAUACCCCUGUAGUC